GAUGAACGCUGGCGGCGUGCCUAAUACAUGCAAGUCGAGCGAACAGAUAAGGAGCUUGCUCCUUUGACGUUAGCGGCGGACGGGUGAGUAACACGUGGGUAACCUACCUAUAAGACUGGGAUAACUUCGGGAAACCGGAGCUAAUACCGGAUAACAUUUGGAACCGCAUGGUUCUAAAGUGAAAGAUGGUUUUGCUAUCACUUAUAGAUGGACCCGCGCCGUAUUAGCUAGUUGGUAAGGUAACGGCUUACCAAGGCAACGAUACGUAGCCGACCUGAGAGGGUGAUCGGCCACACUGGAACUGAGACACGGUCCAGACUCCUACGGGAGGCAGCAGUAGGGAAUCUUCCGCAAUGGGCGAAAGCCUGACGGAGCAACGCCGCGUGAGUGAUGAGGGUUUCGGCUCGUAAAACUCUGUUAUUAGGGAAGAACAAACGUGUAAGUAACUGUGCACGUCUUGACGGUACCUAAUCAGAAAGCCACGGCUAACUACGUA
rnacentral:rRNA from 1 species